rnacentral:tRNA from 1 species
CAGAAAGUAGUUUAAUAAAAAUAAAGACUUUGGGAGUCUUAGAUUUGGAUAUCCAACUUUCUGA